GCGGGCGAGCGCCUCGCCAACCCGGUCAGAUCCGGAAGGAAGCAGCCGUAACGAGCCCCGCUUGGGUCGUUGUCCAGCCUC
rnacentral:SRP_RNA from 1 species